GGAAGUCUCUCGAUGUUGCGCCUCUGGCUUUAGAAACUGUGGCUUUACUGAGACGUUUUAAAUGGGAUUCAUGAAGGGCUUUGCAGUUGGGAUGGCAGCUGGUGUCAUGUUUGGAACAUUUUCCUGUAUAAGGGUUGGCAUGAGAGGCAGAGAGCUGAUGGGAGGAGUUGGGAAGAUGAUGCAGAGCGGAGGCACGUUUGGUACAUUCAUGUCCAUUGGGAUGGACAUCUGCUGCAGAGACCACCUCUACGGCACUUACUUAUAAUUACACAACGGGACUUUUGUAAUAACUUAUUCCCAUGUCACAAUUUCUCCAUAGUUCUUGGACAAAGUAUGUCAAUAACGGCUGUGAUUUCAAUUGCUGGUAGUAGGUCUAAGUCAAAUGUUAGGUGUGGGGAAUAUGAUCAAUGGGAUAAUUACUAACCUUGUGGUGCUGCAACAUCGGUGCCAUCCAAAGGAUUGACGAUACCAGGGUAGUCCCUCCCAAAGGAUAGAUGCUUGAUCAAGUGAGUCAUGUUGAUCUGUAGGACACAAGAAACACAAAUAGCCACUUAAAGGGGUAUAGAUAACGCUGCCUUGGAAAGACACAUUUAUAUAAAAAAAAAACAAAAAAAGUACUUACGUUGUCUAGUCCAAAGCUCUGCAGAUCAUGAACUGAAAUGAAAAUGAGACAAUAUGUCAGUAAUGCUGUGAUGCUCUGAUAGAACAUCAGUUACUGUAUAUGUUAUUGUUGAGCACACAGCCCUCAAAUGCGAUGUGUUCUUGAUUACUGCUUGUACCACCUCAAUUAAAGAUCAAACCAACAA